rnacentral:ncRNA from 1 species
CGCCAGAUACCGCAUCACCCAAUCACUGAUGGCUCAACGGCAUCCGGCGGCACAAGUAAAAAAUGUAGCUGCCUUUUGAGCGGGUUUGCUGCAGACCGAAACGGAGGUUUCCGUUUGGACUGUGGUUUUUUCACUAUGCCC